AACGAACGCUGGCGGCAGGCUUAACACAUGCAAGUCGAGCGCCCCGCAAGGGGAGCGGCAGACGGGUGAGUAACACGUGGGAACAUACCCAUCUCUGCGGAACAACUCCGGGAAACUGGAGCUAAUACCGCAUACGCCCUUAGGGGGAAAGAUUAUCGGAGAUGGAUUGGCCCGCGUUGGAUUAGCUAGUUGGUGGGGUAAAGGCCUACCAAGGCGACGAUCCAUAGCUGGGCUGAGAGGAUGAUCAGCCACAUUGGGACUGAGACACGGCCCAAACUCCUACGGGAGGCAGCAGUGGGGAAUAUUGGACAAUGGGCGCAAGCCUGAUCCAGCCAUGCCGCGUGAGUGAUGAAGGCCUUAGGGUUGUAAAGCUCUUUCACCGAUGAAGAUAAUGACGGUAGUCGGAGAAGAAGCCCCGGCUAACUUCGUGCCAGCCGCCGCCGUAACAC
rnacentral:rRNA from 1 species